rnacentral:rRNA from 1 species
UACGUAGGGUGCGAGCGUUGUCCGGAAUUAUUGGGCGUAAAGAGCUCGUAGGCGGCUUGUCGCGUCGGAUGUGAAAGCCCGGGGCUUAACUCCGGGUCUGCAUUCGAUACGGGCAGGCUAGAGUUCGGUAGGGGAGAUCGGAAUUCCUGGUGUAGCGGUGAAAUGCGCAGAUAUCAGGAGGAACACCGGUGGCGAAGGCGGGUCCCUGGGCCGAUACUGACGCUGAGGAGCGAAAGCGUGGGGAGCAAACAGG